GCCAGUGUGGUGUAGGGGUUUGAGCAUUGGACAAUGAUUCUGGAGAUCAGGGUUCAAAUCCCACGCAGGCA
rnacentral:tRNA from 1 species